AAAACAAAAAAUAUUUUUUUUUUCGCAAGCUAUUAAUAAAAUAUUACACUUUGCAACAAUUUUAGGGUCGUGGAAUCUAACGGGGUUGAGACGAACAUAGAUGUGUAAUGCUGGAUUAGUUGUAACAGAACCCUAAGGGCUAUUUGCUCAAAGCCUGGUUGACACUUAUUUCCGAUUAACAUCGUGAUCGACCUCUUUGACUCCAUGCAUAUAACAGCGUGUCGGUAACGGUAUAACAGGGUGUAACGAUAACGAUUUUUAGCCGGCGAUUAGUGUAAACCAGGCUUUUAGAAAACCAGAUUAAGACGAAGGGAUGAGGCAUCAACGUCAGAAAAAGGAGGGAAAACGACCUAGCUAACAUAAUAUAUGUAUUUUGAGAAUGGAUAUAAAAUUCCAUUU